rnacentral:rRNA from 1 species
UACGGAGGAUGCGAGCGUUAUCCGGAUUUAUUGGGUUUAAAGGGUGCGUAGGCGGGCUGUUAAGUCAGCGGUCAAAUGUCGGGGCUCAACCCCGGCCGGCCGUUGAAACUGGCGUGCUCGAGUUGGAGAGAAGUAUGCGGAAUUCGUGGUGUAGCGGUGAAAUGCAUAGAUAUCACGAAGAACUCCGAUUGCGAAGGCAGCAUACCGGCGCUCAACUGACGCUCAUGCACGAAAGUGUGGGUAUCGAACAGG